rnacentral:sRNA from 1 species
CUUCAAGGUGAGGCUCUGCAUGGGCUCACCUCGUUCCCUCUGUUCACCUCUGUUCCUGCAUGGGCUGGGAAUGCAGGCUGGCUGUGGGCUCCUAGGCGGGGCCCAGGAGGUACCUGGGCUGAGGAAAGGGCAGGGUCAGCUCUCCCAACCCCCGGGGCCUGUGCUGGGCUGUGGGUGGCGACGGCCGCUGCCUCCCCGGGGAGGGCUCCUGACCCCACUCCUUCUCCAGGUGGACCUGGUGUGUCACGGCAAGACAGAAAUUAUCCCUGACAGGGAUGGCUCCGACCCAUACCAGGAGCCCAAGAGAAGGGGCAUCUUCCGUCAGAUUGACAGUGGCAGCAACCUCACCACAGACCUCAUCGUCCAGCGGAUCAUCACCAACAGGUUGGAGUAUGAGGCGCGAAACCAGAAGAAGGAAGCCAAGGAGCUGGCCUUCCUGGAGGCUGCCAGGCAGCAGGCGGCACAGCCCCUGGGGGAGCGCGAUGGCGACUUCUAACUCGGCAGAGGCCCCGGCCGGCCCUCCCCCUGCUCUGCUUCUGCGCCUUCUGCGUUUGGACAUAGGACUCUGCAGGGCCGCCCUCUCUAACUGGCCUGGCUCUGGAAGGGCUGCUGAGGACUCUGCCUCCUUGCCUGCCUACAAGGUGCCUGGUUUGCAGCAGGCUCUCCGCUCUUUCCAGCAAAGCUGCUCAGAGA